AGCAGCCGCGGUAAUUCCAGCUCCAAUAGCGUAUAUUAAAGUUGUUGCAGUUAAAAAGCUCGUAGUUGAAUUUCGGGAUCAGUAUGUUGGUCGUGCUUCGGUACGUACUGUCAUUACUGGUUUCUACCUUCUGAAGAACCUUGAUGUCAUUAAUUUGGUGUCUUGGGGAAUCAGGACUGUUACUUUGAAAAAAUUAGAGUGUUUAAAGCAAGCAUACGCUUGAAUACAUUAGCAUGGAAUAAUGAAAUAGGACGUUUGAUUCUAUUUUGUUGGUUUCUAGGAUCGACGUAAUGAUUAAUAGGGAUAGUUGGGGGCAUUAGUAUUCAAUUGUCAGAGGUGAAAUUCUUGGAUUUAUUGAAGACUAACUACUGCGAAAGCAUUUGCCAAGGAUGUUUUCAUUAAUCAAGAACGAAAGUUAGGGGAUCGAAGACGAUCAGAUACCGUCGUAGUCUUAACCAUAAACUAUGCCGACUAGGGAUCGGAUGAUGUUAUUUUUAAUGACUCAUUCGGCUACCG
rnacentral:rRNA from 1 species